AUUGAACGCUGGCGGCCGGCCUAACCCAUGCAAGUCGAACGAGUGGCGGACGGGUGAGUAAUGUCUGGGAAACUGCCUGACGGAGGGGGAUAACUACUGGAAACGGUAGCUAAUACCGCAUACCAUCGGAUGUGCCCAGACGGGAGGAGCUAGUAGGUGGGGUAACGGCUCACCUAGGCGACGCUCCCUAGCUGGUCUGAGAGGAUGACCAGCCACACUGGAACGAGGACAGGGUCCGGACUCCUCAGGGGGGAAGCAGGGGGGAUGAUUGCACAAGGGGCGCAAGCCUGAGGCAGCCAUGCCGCGUGUAUGAAGAAGGCCUUCGGGUUGUAAAGUACGUUCAGCGGGGAGGCGUUACCCGCAGAAGAAGCACCGGCUAACGCCGUGCCAGCAGCCGCGGUAAUAC
rnacentral:rRNA from 1 species